rnacentral:rRNA from 1 species
GACAGAGGCCUCAAGCGUUUAGGCGGAAUCACUGGGCUUAAAGCGUGUGUAGGCGGAUCGUUAAGUGUCUUGUGAAAUCCCACGGCUCACCCGUGGAACGGCUGGGCAUACUGGCGAUCUUGGGCCAACUAGGGGCAACUGGAACAAGCGGUGGAGCGGUGAAAUGCGUAGAUAUCGCUUGGAACGCCAAAGGUGAAAACAGGUUGCUGGGGUUGUGCCGACGCUGAGACACGAAAGCCAGGGGAGCAAACGGGG